rnacentral:rRNA from 1 species
UAGGGAAUCUUCCACAAUGGACGAAAGUCUGAUGGAGCAACGCCGCGUGAGUGAAGAAGGGUUUCGGCUCGUAAAACCCUGUUGUUAAAGAAGAACAUAUCUGAGAGUAACUGUUCAGGUAUUGACGGUAUUUAACCAGAAAGCCACGGCUAACUACGUGUCAG